UGAGAAAAACAGCAUACCGGCACGGGAGCUGUCUUGGGCAAGAAGAACAACGGUGGUGUGAGAGCCUCGAUGGGACAAGAGAGGAUGGUGCCACCUAAGUGGGCAAGCGGUCAAGAUAAGAGAGCAGGACAUGAGGAAUAAUGACUGCGGGCAGCCUAUGCUUUAGGGUAGUACCUGAGCAUGUCUUGUUUUGUCUUCCGCAGGUGCUACAUGCAGCCUCAGAGGGGUGAAUCUUCAUGUAGGCAAAUGGUCUGAGAGGUGCCACGCGGGCUGCCUUUGGAACGGGAAGAGCAUUUGAGAUAAAGAGAAAUGUGUUGACUGCAGGAUCAUCUCAGGCAGCAGAUGUGACUUGAGCUGCUUCUGCCAAGCGUGGCUCGGGCUCUUGGACCUCUGAAAGCUAG